rnacentral:rRNA from 1 species
AUUGAACGCUGGCGGCAUGCCUUACACAUGCAAGUCGAACGGCAGCACGGGUGCUUGCACCUGGUGGCGAGUGGCGAACGGGUGAGUAAUACAUCGGAACAUGUCCUGUAGUGGGGGAUAGCCCGGCGAAAGCCGGAUUAAUACCGCAUACGAUCUACGGAUGAAAGCGGGGGACCUUCGGGCCUCGCGCUAUAGGGUUGGCCGAUGGCUGAUUAGCUAGUUGGUGGGGUAAAGGCCUACCAAGGCGACGAUCAGUAGCUGGUCUGAGAGGAGGACCAGCCACACUGGAACUGAGACACGGCCCAGACUCCUACGGGAGGCAGCAGUGGGGAAUUUUGGACAAUGGGCGAAAGCCUGAUCCAGCAAUGCCGCGUGUGUGAAGAAGGCCUUCGGGUUGUAAAGCACUUUUGUCCGGAAAGAAAUCCUUGGCUCUAAUACAGUCGGGGGAUGACGGUACCGGAAGAAUAAGCACCGGCUAACUACGUG